rnacentral:rRNA from 1 species
UACGAAGGGGGCUAGCGUUGUUCGGAUUUACUGGGCGUAAAGCGCACGUAGGCGGAUCGAUCAGUCAGGGGUGAAAUCCCAGAGCUCAACUCUGGAACUGCCUUUGAUACUGUCGAUCUGGAGUAUGGAAGAGGUGAGUGGAAUUCCGAGUGUAGUGGUGGAAUGCGUAGAUAUCGGGAGGAACACCAGUGGCGAAGGCGGGUCUCUGGACAGUUCCUGACACUGAGGCACGAAGGUCAGGGGAGCAAACGGG